rnacentral:rRNA from 1 species
UGCAGUCGAGCGGAUCUUCAUUAGCUUGCUUUUGAAGAUCAGCGGCGGACGGGUGNNUAACACGUGGGCAACCUGCCUGUAAGACUGGGAUAACUUCGGGAAACCGGAGCUAAUACCGGAUAAUCCUUUCCCUCUCAUGAGGGAAAGCUGAAAGACGGUUUCGGCUGUCACUUACAGAUGGGCCCGCGGCGCAUUAGCUAGUUGGUGAGGUAACGGCUCACCAAGGCGACGAUGCGUAGCCGACCUGAGAGGGUGAUCGGCCACACUGGGACUGAGACACGGCCCAGACUCCUACGGGAGGCAGCAGUAGGGAAUCUUCCGCAAUGGACGAAAGUCUGACGGAGCAACGCCGCGUGAGCGAUGAAGGCCUUCGGGUCGUAAAGCUCUGUUGUCAGGGAAGAACAAGUACCGGAGUAACUGCCGGUACCUUGACGGUACCUGACCAGAAAGCCACGGCUAACUACGUGCCAGCAGCCGCGGUAAUACGUAGGUGGCAAGCGUUGUCCGGAAUUAUUGGGCGUAAAGCGCGCGCAGGCGGUUCCUUAAGUCUGAUGUGAAAGCCCCCGGCUCAACCGGGGAGGGUCAUUGGAAACUGGGGAACUUGAGUGCAGAAGAGGAGAGCGGAAUUCCACGUGUAGCGGUGAAAUGCGUAGAGAUGUGGAGGAACACCAGUGGCGAAGGCGGCUCUCUGGUCUGUAACUGACGCUGAGGCGCGAAAGCGUGGGGAGCGAACAGGAUUAGAUACCCUGGUAGUCCACGCCGUAAACGAUGAGUGCUAAGUGUUAGAGGGUUUCCGCCCUUUAGUGCUGCAGCAAACGCAUUAAGCACUCCGCCUGGGGAGUACGGCCGCAAGGCUGAAACUCAAAGGAAUUGACGGGGGCCCGCACAAGCGGUGGAGCAUGUGGUUUAAUUCGAAGCAACGCGAAGAACCUUACCAGGUCUUGACAUCCUCUGACACCCUAGAGAUAGGG